CUUUUCUUAAUAUUUUUAAAAUUCAUUCAAACAAGGUUUCCCACCUCCCAUGCAGGCAGAAAGCUGUGUCAAUCAUUGUGAGGGGCCUUUCUCUCUCCCUGGGGUUGUAGGACAACCUAGGGAACUUGUGCAGCACCCCAAAAGAUUAAGUUGGCAGAUUCCAAGUAUGGAGGGGCUCCCUGCCCACGAGGUACAGCUGUCUGUCUCCCUGCCUGGAGACUCCUGCAAACUCCCUUCAUUCUGUGUUGUUCAGCCUUUACUCUGCUACUUUCCUCCAUGGUGGAACUGAAUGACUUAUCAAGAAUAGCUUGGCAGUCCACGCUGUCUAUCUUUGCAGGGGUCCUGGCUCUCCUGCAAAGAAUUAAAAAUGUCUUUCACUUCUUUAGGGAAAGUCUGUGGUCUUGAAAAAGAAAUCAAACCAUUUCCUAAUCAGUCUCUUUGUCUAUUAUAAAUAAUAGAAAGAUGUGCCUGCUGUUAUAUGCAGCUUACCAUAUGAGCCUGGGUAUUUAAUAUUCAUUU
rnacentral:lncRNA from 1 species